UACGUAGGGUGCGAGCGUUGUCCGGAAUUAUUGGGCGUAAAGAGCUCGUAGGCGGUCUGUCGCGUCGGUCGUGAAAACCUGCAGCUUAACUGUGGGCUUGCGGUCGAUACGGGCAUGACUGGAGUUCGGCAGGGGAGACUGGAAUUCCUGGUGUAGCGGUGAAAUGCGCAGAUAUCAGGAGGAACACCGGUGGCGAAGGCGGGUCUCUGGGCCGAUACUGACGCUGAGGAGCGAAAGCGUGGGGAGCGAGCAGG
rnacentral:rRNA from 1 species